ACUAAAGCUCUAAAUACAUUUUCGUUGGCUUUGGGAAGGCGCUUCCUCGUAUUAUUUAUAUUUCAGUAUAUUAUGCAAUAUAUUUCCAACUUAUACGACCACAUGAGGAUCAUGCGCAUGCGACAAGUUUGCUCCACAUUUUGACUCUGCGCCGCCGUGCUUCACCCUCGCCCCUCGCCUCGUCACGAAGGAGUCAUCGCCAUUAGCAUCAUCGGAAUGUCGUUGGAACCGUUGCAAGACGUUUGAACGGUCUCCGCGCUCGCUCGUCCAUUUGUGAACAAAGGAGGCCGUGAUUUUGCGUCGUAUGGGCGGCUGCAGUGUUGCGUCCCGUCAGGCCAUGAAAGAAGGAAGGAGGAUAUGAUUUUGCGUCGUAAUGGGUAAGCUGUGUGAUCGG